AUUGAACGCUGGCGGCAUGCCUUACACAUGCAAGUCGAACGGCAGCGCGGGAGCAAUCCUGGCGGCGAGUGGCGAACGGGUGAGUAAUAUAUCGGAACGUGCCGAGUAGUGGGGGAUAGCCCGGCGAAAGCAGGACUAAUACCGCAUACGACCUGAGGGGGAAAGGGGGGGAUCGCAAGACCUCUCGCUAUGGGAGCGGCCGAUAUCAGAUUAGGUAGCUGGUGGGGUAAAGGCCUACCAAGCCUGCGAUCUGUAGUUGGUCUGAGAGGACGACCAGCCACACUGGGACUGAGACACGGCCCAGACUCCUACGGGAGGCAGCAGUGGGGAAUUUUGGACAAUGGGCGCAAGCCUGAUCCAGCAAUGCCGCGUGCAGGAAGAAGGCCUUCGGGUUGUAAACUGCUUUUGUCAGGGAAGAAAUCCUCUAGGCUAAUACCUUGGGGGGAUGACGGUACCUGAAGAAUAAGCACCGGCUAACUACGUGCCAGCAGCCGCGGUAAGAC
rnacentral:rRNA from 1 species